ensembl:misc_RNA Metazoa_SRP Metazoan signal recognition particle RNA
GCCUGGCUCAGUGGCAUGUGCCUGUAGUCCCAGCUACUCGGGAGGCUGAGGCUGGAGGAUCGCUUGAGUCCAGGAGUUCUGGGCUGUAGUACACUGUGCCGAUUGGGUGUCCGCACUAAAUUCUGCAUCAAUAUGGUGACCUCCUGGGUGUGGGGGACCACCAGGUUGCCUAAGGAGGGGUGAACCGGCCCAGGUCUGAAACGGAGCAGGUCAAAACUCCUGUGCUGAUGAGUAGUGGGAUCGUGCCUGUGAAUAGCCACUGCACUCCAGCCUGGGGAACAUAGCAAGACCCUGUCUCU